GGUCGCUUAGCUCAGUUGGUUAGAGCGUGGUGCUAAUAGUAUACCUUGAUACGCCAAGGUCGCGAGUUCGACCCUCGUAGUGACCA
rnacentral:tRNA from 1 species